rnacentral:rRNA from 1 species
GUGGGGAAUUUUGGACAAUGGGCGCAAGCCUGAUCCAGCAAUGCCGCGUGCAGGAAGAAGGCCUUCGGGUUGUAAACUGCUUUUGUACGGAACGAAACGGCUCUGGUUAAUACCCGGGGCUAAUGACGGUACCGUAAGAAUAAGCACCGGCUAACUACGUGCCAGCAGCCGCUGUAAUACGUAGGGUGCAAGCGUUAAUCGGAAUUACUGGGCGUAAAGCGUGCGCAGGCGGUUUUGUACGACAGGCGUGAAAUCCCCGGGCUCAACCUGGGAAUGGCGCUUGUGACUGCAAAGCUGGAGUGCGGCAGAGGGGGAUGGAAUUCCGCGUGUAGCAGUGAAAUGCGUAGAUAUGCGGAGGAACACCGAUGGCGAAGGCAAUCCCCUGGGCCUGCACUGACGCUCAUGCACGAAAGCGUGGGGAGCAAACAGGAUUAGAUACCCUAGUAGUCC